UACGUAGGGUGCAAGCGUUAUCCGGAAUUAUUGGGCGUAAAGAGCUCGUAGGCGGUUUGUCGCGUCUGCUGUGAAAACUGGAGGCUCAACCUCCAGCCUGCAGUGGGUACGGGCAGACUAGAGUGCGGUAGGGGAGAUUGGAAUUCCUGGUGUAGCGGUGAAAUGCGCAGAUAUCAGGAGGAACACCGAUGGCGAAGGCAGGUCUCUGGGCAUUAACUGACGCUGAGGAGCGAAAGCAUGGGGAGCGAACAGG
rnacentral:rRNA from 1 species